rnacentral:tRNA from 1 species
AAUGAAAUGCCUGAAUAAAGGGUUAUCGUGAUAGGAUAAAUAAUGUAUAAUUCAAUUAUACUUUCAUUG